CCUACGGGAGGCUGCAGUGAGGAAUUUUGGUCAAUGCGCGAGAGCCUGAACCAGCCAAGUCGCGUGAGGGAAGACGGUCCUAUGGAUUGUAAACCUCUUUUGUCGGGGAGCAAAAAGGCCUCAUGAAGCCACAAGUGAGAGUACCCUAAGAAAAAGCAUCGGCUAACUCCGUGCCAGCAGCCGCGGUAAUACGGAGGAUGCGAGCGUUAUCCGGAUUUAUUGGGUUUAAAGGGUGCGUAGGCGGGCAUUUAAGCCGGCGGUCAAAUGUCGGGGCUCAACCUCGGACUGCCGUCGGAACUGGGUGUCGUGAGUGGGCGAGAAGUAUGCGGAAGGCGUGGGGUAGCGGUGAAAUGCAUAGAUAUCACGCAGAACCCCGAUUGCGAAGGCAGCAUACCGGCGCCCUACUGACGCUGAGGCACGAAAGUGCGGGUAUCGAACAGGAUUAGAUACCCCUGGUAGUC
rnacentral:rRNA from 1 species